UGCUUAUCUCCUUACUUCCAAAGGCAUGUUGACCUUGAUGAAGACAAAACUCCAUAACUGGCACAUGAACCAGCAUCACUGGAAACCAUAACAAAGUCACUACGUAAGAACCGCAGCAGAGUAUGUUCUACAACCAGGCAAGGAGGCCACAUGUCCCAUCAAAGGUGGCGAGGAAGGGCGCUCACGGAGGUGAGACCGACCGGCUGGGCUGUGGAGGGUGUUAGGACAAAAGAAAGGGAAGCCAAGCUCCACGGAAGAGGGUCUGUGGGAUUCACUGGAAUAAACCUGAGAGGAGCUGCAGUUGAUGGAUUCCACUGACAGAACCACGGAGACCGAGAGCUGGCCCUGCACAGUGACGUUUCCAGAUGUCCCUGAGGGCAAGGUGUACGAAGAGCCCACAGAUAUGGCCUGGAGGAGCAGUCAGAAGUCCGCCAGUGAGCUGAGGAUGGGUGGUACUGACAGAGAGGACUGAGGGCCUGUGUGAGGGGAGGACUCACAUGGACGUGAAGCAUGAUUUGCCAGCCAGAGGACACCACAGCCGCUGCCCCCUGGAAAGAGACCAGCAAUGUUCUGACUGGCUUCCCGGCUUUGAUCUCGUUAGUUCAGAGGCUCCUAACAGAAGCCCCAGAUGUUUUAUGAUCUGUUUAAUAUGCAAGGAAGAAAAGACCUGGAACUGA
rnacentral:lncRNA from 1 species